rnacentral:rRNA from 1 species
UGACAAAGUUUAACGGCCGCGGUACCCUAACCGUGCGAAGGUAGCAUAAUCACUUGUUCUUUAAAUAGGGACUUGUAUCAACGGCAUCACGAGGGCUAUACUGUCUCCUUUCUCCAAUCAGUGAAACUGAUCUUCCCGUGAAGAAGCGGGAAUUAUUAUAUAAGACGAGAAGACCCCAUGGAGCUUUAAACUCAAUAUAUACCUCUACGCACUUAUAUCACUAUAGCCUAAGAAAAUUAUAUAUUAGUUUUGGGUUGGGGGGACCGCGGAGAAAAAAUUAACCUCCACGACGAAUAGGCCAACGCCUUUAUCUAUGAACCACAAUUCUAAGAAUCAACAAACUGAUGUUUAAUGAUCCAAUUUAUUGAUCAACGAACCAAGUUACCCUGGGGAUAACAGCGCAAUCUACUUCAAGAGCCCCUAUCGACAAGUGGGUUUACGACCUCGAUGUUGGAUCAGGGUAUCCUAGUGGUGCAGCCGCUACUAAAGGUUCGUUUGUUCAACGAUUAAAACCCUACGUGAUCUGAG